CCUACGGGUGGCUGCAGUGAGGAAUAUUGGUCAAUGGGUGUAAGCCUGAACCAGCCAAGUCGCGUGAGGGAUGAAGGUUCUAUGGAUCGUAAACCUCUUUUAUAAGGGAAUAAAGUGCGGGACGUGUCCCGUUUUGUAUGUACCUUAUGAAUAAGGAUCGGCUAACUCCGUGCCAGCAGCCGCGGUAAUACGGAGGAUGCGAGCGUUAUCCGGAUUUAUUGGGUUUAAAGGGGGCGUAGGCGGACGGGUAAGUCAGGCGUAAAAGCCCGGGGCCCAACCCCGGGGAAGCCUUUGAAACUGGGUGUCUGGAGAGGACGAGAGGCAUGCGGAAUGCGUGGUGUAGCGGUGAAAUGCUUAGAUAUUAGGAAGAACUCCGAUUGCGAAGGCGGCCUACUGGAGGGCAUCUGACGUUGAGGCACGAAAGCGUGGGUAUCGAACAGGAUUAGAUACCCUUGUAGUC
rnacentral:rRNA from 1 species